ACCUAGAGUGAGGAAGAUUUGAGUUCAAAUCCAGCCUUAGACAGGCACUGGCUGCAUGUGACCCUGGGCAAUUUACUUAACCUUUGGUUGCCUCAGUUUCCUCAUCUGUAAAAUGGGGAUAAUAGCACUUAACUCUUGGUUGUUAUGAGGAUAAAAU
rnacentral:snoRNA from 1 species